AUUGAACGCUGGCGGCAGGCCUAACACAUGCGAGUCGAACGGUAACAGGAAGAAGCUUGCUUCUUUGCUGACGAGUGGCGGACGGGUGAGUAAUGUCUGGGAAACUGCCUGAUGGAGGGGGAUAACUACUGGAAACGGUAGCUAAUACCGCAUAACGUCGCAAGACCAAAGAGGGGGACCUUCGGGCCUCUUGCCAUCGGAUGUGCCCAGAUGGGAUUAGCUAGUAGGUGGGGUAACGGCUCACGUAGGCGACGAUCCCUAGCUGGUCUGAGAGGAUGACCAGCCACACUGGAACUGAGACACGGUCCAGACUCCUACGGGAGGCAGCAGUGGGGAAUAUUGCACAAUGGGCGCAAGCCUGAUGCAGCCAUGCCGCGUGUAUGAAGAAGGCCUUCGGGUUGUAAAGUACUUUCAGCGGGGAGGAAGGGAGUAAAGUUAAUACCUUUACUCAUUGACGUUACCCGCAGAAGAAGCACCGGCUAACUCCGUG
rnacentral:rRNA from 1 species